rnacentral:rRNA from 1 species
UACAGAGGGGGCAAGCGUUGUUCGGAAUUACUGGGCGGAAAGGGCGCGUAGGCGGCCUUCUAAGUCGAACGUGAAAUCCCCGGGCUCAACCCGGGAACUGCGUCCGAUACUGGAAGGCUUGAAUCCGGGAGAGGGAUGCGGAAUUCCAGGUGUAGCGGUGAAAUGCGUAGAUAUCAGGAGGAAUACCGAUGGCGAAGGCAGGUCUCUGGGCUGACACUGACGCUCAUGCACGAAAGCGUGGGGAGCAAACAGG